GACGAACGCUGGCGGCGUGCCUAAUACAUGCAAGUCGAACGAGAGCGACCGGUGCUUGCACUGGUCAAUCUAGUGGCGAACGGGUGAGUAACACGUGGGUAACCUGCCUAUCAGAGGGGGAUAACAUCCGGAAACGGAUGCUAAAACCGCAUAGGUCUUCGAGCCGCAUGGCUUGAAGAGGAAAAGAGGCGCAAGCUUCUGCUGAUGGAUGGACCCGCGGUGCAUUAGCUAGUUGGUGAGGUAACGGCUCACCAAGGCCAUGAUGCAUAGCCGACCUGAGAGGGUGAUCGGCCACAUUGGGACUGAGACACGGCCCAAACUCCUACGGGAGGCAGCAGUAGGGAAUCUUCCGCAAUGGACGCAAGUCUGACGGAGCAACGCCGCGUGAGUGAAGAAGGUUUUCGGAUCGUAAAACUCUGUUGUUAGAGAAGAACAAGUGCUAGAGUAACUGUUAGCGCCUUGACGGUAGCUAACCAGAAAGCCACGGCUAACUACGUG
rnacentral:rRNA from 1 species